rnacentral:rRNA from 1 species
AGAGUUUGAUCCUGGCUCAGGAUGAACGCUAGCGAGAGGCCUAACACAUGCAAGUCGAGGGGUAACAGGGGAGCUUGCUCCCGCUGACGACCGGCGCACGGGUGAGUAACGCGUAUGCAACCUGCCCGCCACAGGGGGAUAGCCUUCCGAAAGGGAGAUUAAUACCGCAUAAGACCACGCCUGGGCAUCCAGGAGGGGUAAAAUAUUCAUAGGUGGCGGCUGGGCAUGCGUGACAUUAGCUAGUUGGCGGGCAACGGCCCACCAAGGCGACGAUGUCUAGGGGAACUGAGAGGUCGAUCCCCCACACUGGUACUGAGACACGGACCAGACUCCUACGGGAGGCAGCAGUGAGGAAUAUUGGUCAAUGGAGGGAACUCUGAACCAGCCAUCUCGCGUGAAGGACUACGGCCCUACGGGUCUUAAACUUCUUUUAUAGGGGGAUAAAGUCGCAUACGAGUAUGUGAUUGCAGGUACCCUAUGAAUAAGCAUCGGCUAACUCCGUGCCAGCCGCCGC